CUGGCUCAGGAUGAACGCUAGCGGCAGGCUUAACACAUGCAAGUCGAGGGGUAACAGGGAGUAGCAAUACUCUGCUGACGACCGGCGCACGGGUGCGUAACGCGUAUGCAACCUACCUGUAACAGGGGUAUAACGGGGUGAAAAUCCCACUAAUCCCCCAUAUUGUUGGAGAUUCGCAUGAUUUUCCAACGAAAGGUUAUUCUGGUUACAGAUGGGCAUGCGUGACAUUAGCUAGUUGGUAGGGCAACGGCCUACCAAGGCGACGAUGUCUAGGGGAGCUGAGAGGCUUAUCCCCCACACUGGUACUGAGACACGGACCAGACUCCUACGGGAGGCAGCAGUGAGGAAUAUUGGUCAAUGGACGGAAGUCUGAACCAGCCAUGCCGCGUGGAAGGAAGAAGGUCCUAUGGGUUGUAAACUGCUUUUAUGCGGGAAUAAAGUCAGGUACGUGUACCUGUUUGUAUGUACCGCAUGAAUAAGGACCGGCUAAUUCCGUGCCAGCAGCUGC
rnacentral:rRNA from 1 species